CNGAACGGUUCCUUGNGAGNGAAAGACGAUAAUCCUNCCUCGGCGUUGCGGGAGAAAGCGGGGGACCUUCGGGCCUUGCGCUAUCUUUAUGUAGCCUAGGUCGGAUUAGCUAGUUGGUGGGGUAAUGGCUCACCAAGGCGACGAUCCGUAACUGGUCUGAGAGGAUGAUCAGUCACACUGGAACUGAGACACGGUCCAGACUCCUACG
rnacentral:rRNA from 1 species